AUGGUUAAAAACCUCUCGCACCCGCCAGUCGCUCACACAACCCCCAGCCCCACACGAGGCCAAGGCCCCUCUCUCAGCGGAACUGGUAGCAGAGCUCGACAGUCCCGUGAGGAGACGCAGCCCGAGGGGACGAUGAGGCAUCUGUGGCUGGUGCUGCUGCUGGUUCUGGCGCUGGCCGGGGCUGCCCUGGCUGGGCCCGUCCUGCAGCAGCCGCGGGGCGUGGAGGGUCCCGGCGUGGUGGCAGCGCGUGAUGGGGCAUCAGCCCAGGUGGAUGGAGCCCAAGAGCAGCCGCUGGGAGUGAGAGUGGAAAGGGCCGCAUGGGGACUGAGAAACCGAACCAUAUUCAGCUGGUGUGACCCAUCGAGACCUGGCUGCCUGUCACUAUUUGGCUACCAUAUUGACUUUCACUAAGCUUGUUGCUGCUGGAACCAACCCCUCAAGCUGGGAGCAUUUCAGGCCUGCACGCCCCUGCCUCGGAUCACCAGAGCUGUGUGCGCCAGCCACUCUGAUCCAAACACCCCUUUCCAGGCGUCACAUGCUGCUGAUUCUCCCCUCACUGGUUUUACACCCGUGUAUCCCCAUGACCUCACUGGAGUCACUCCUGAUUUACACCAGUGUGAAUCCGGCCCUAAAAAGCAUGAGCUUGCUGUUGGCUGUGGGGUAUGGAAGCCCCCAGCCCCUCCUGAGCGCUGUGGGCAGAGGCCACGACUGGGCCAUGUUGGUCAUGGGAGGCUCAUUCCCUCUGUGCCGAGCGAUGAACCCGCUUUGCUGAGCCUGGCGCUUCCCAUGUGUUUUGCAUUUAUUCACUUGCAUCAAUAAAAGCAGUAACCUCUGA